UCCUCCUAAAGAGUAACGGAGGAGCACGAAGGUUGGCUAAUCCUGGUCGGACAUCAGGAGGUUAGUGCAAUGGCAUAAGCCAGCUUGACUGCGAGCGUGACGGCGCGAGCAGGUGCGAAAGCAGGUCAUAGUGAUCCGGUGGUUCUGAAUGGAAGGGCCAUCGCUCAACGGAUAAAAGGUACUCCGGGGAUAACAGGCUGAUACCGCCCAAGAGUUCAUAUCGACGGCGGUGUUUGGCACCUCGAUGUCGGCUCAUCACAUCCUGGGGCUGAAGUAGGUCCCAAGGGUAUGGCUGUUCGCCAUUUAAAGUGGUACGCGAGCUGGGUUUAGAACGUCGUGAGACAGUUCGGUCCCUAUCUGCCGUGGGCGCUGGAGAACUGAGGGGGGCUGCUCCUAGUACGAGAGGACCGGAGUGGACGCAUCACUGGUGUUCGGGUUGUCAUGCCAAUGGCACUGCCCGGUAGCUAAAUGCGGAAGAGAUAAGUGCUGAAAGCAUCUAAGCACGAAACUUGCCCCGAGAUGAGUUCUCCCUGACCCUUUAAGGGUCCUGAAGGAACGUUGAAGACGACGACGUUGAUAGGCCGGGUGUGUAAGCGCAGCGAUGCGUUGAGCUAACCGGUACUAAUGAACCGUGAGG
rnacentral:rRNA from 2 species